GAUUAACGCUGGCGGCGUGCAUAACACAUGCAAGUCGAACGAUGAAACUUAGUCGACUUCUUCGGAAAGACACUAAGCGGCUUAGUGGCGAACGGGUGAGUAACGCGUGAGUAACCUGCCUUACACAAGGGGAUAGCCUUUGGAAACGAAGAAUAAUACCCUAUAAAACCAUAAAAGCACAUGCUAGAAUGGUCAAAGUGAUAGCGGUGUAAGAUGGACUUGCGUCUGAUUAGCUAGUUGGUGAGAUAAAAGCUCACCAAGGCAACGAUCAGUAGCCGGCUUGAGAGAGUGUACGGCCACAUUGGGACUGAGACACGGCCCAGACUCCUACGGGAGGCAGCAGUGGGGAAUUUUGCACAAUGGGGGAAACCCUGAUGCAGCGACGCCGCGUGAUUUAGAAGGCCUUCGGGUUGUAAAAAUCUUUUGUAUAGGAAGAAAAUGACAGUACUAUACGAAUAAGGUCCGGCUAAUUACGUG
rnacentral:rRNA from 1 species